rnacentral:rRNA from 1 species
UACGGGGGGGGGCAAGCGUUGUUCGGAAUUAUUGGGCGUAAAGAGCGCGCAGGCGGUAACUCAAGUCAGAUGUGAAAUAUCCGGGCUUAACCCGGAGGGGUCAUUUGAAACUGAGUAACUAGAGUACAGCAGAGGAUAGCGGAAUUCCCGGUGUAGUGGUGAAAUGCGUAGAUAUCGGGAGGAACACCAGUGGCGAAGGCGGCUAUCUGGGCUGAAACUGACGCUGAGGCGCGAAGGCUAGGGGAGCAAACAGG